ACCGCCUAAGACACCACCCCAGCCAGCAUGGCCGGCAGGAGCGCACCGCGCUGUCUCCCUCCAGGGAUCCGCACCGCCCUACAAUCCUGCUUUGUGCUGAGAUUGUAGUCCUGCAGGCGUACAACUAACAAGCUGGGUGCAGAUAAGAGACUACAGCUCCCCGCAUCCCAAGCAAAGGUCCCUCCUCUACGGAGCCCCUCCACGCGUCCACUGCGGUUCCGCCGUGCCAAGGGGAGCUUGGCUGUUCACGGGCCUCACCUGCUAGCGAGAAGAUAGCUUGGCCGGGCGGCUGAUCUCACCUUGUAAUUCUGACACUGUGUCUCCCGGGCUUGUCGGCUUCAUGACUUGUGCCCAAAGUUUGAUUUCUCGCAGACCAGGAGGACCCAUUGGACCCCCGGGCUGGCUGCAGGGCCCACACCUGGGUUAGACCUCGCACAGGGACGCUGCUGCCACUGUAAUAAAGCGUGCCUACACGCUUCUGAAACUGGUGUAGGAACAACCUCAGUUCUGUGAAAGGCGGACGCAGCAGGACAGAAUCUCCGUGGACAUCUGUCUGGAGGAGCAAUUUUACUGCGACAUUUUAAAGAAACAAAUUUAAUUGAUUUCCAAGGGUGUCCAUCGCGCUUCCUUCACUGCCUUGAUCAUGUCGGGGUCACCACCUGCGGGGGUUUGUCCUGCAGACCCUGACUCAACGACGGAUGAAUAAUGUACACUGACACAGAUCUUAUGCUUGUCAGUCCUGCUGAGCAUCCAGGCCACUUACAGACUCCAAGAAGAGUCCUGUCAGCCACGGCUCUGACUUGUUGGCCCUCCCGGCAUUUAUUUAGCACACAUUUAAUGACAGAAGUCUCAGGUAAACACCACUAGAAGGUAAUUAUUGUUGCUGAACCCCCGAGUAGAGAGCAAUCAUGCACCAGUGGAUGAUCAGAGGCUGGAAACACUCUUUUUGUAGAACAUACAAAUGGACAUUUCUAAGCACAUUGAGGCCUAUAAUGAAAAAUCAAAUAUCCCACAAUGAAAACUAGAAGGAAGCUAUCUGUGAUAAUGCUUUGUGGUGUAUGGAUUCAUCUCACUGACUGAAACCUGAGUUUUGAUUCACCAGGUUGGAAACUCUUUCUGCAGAAUCUGCAAAGAAAUAUUUCUGAGCCCAUUGAGGCCUACAGUGGAAAACUGAAUAUUCUGUGAUAAAACUAGAAACACCCUAUCUGUGAAAAUGCUUUGUGAUGUGUGGAUUUUUCUCAUCGAAUGGAACCUCUGUUUUGACUCACAAGGGUGAAACACUAUUUUAGUAGAAUCUAGGAAGAAACAUAUCUGAGCCCAUUUAUGCCUACAGUGAGAAACUGAAUACCCUGCAAUAAAAAGUAGACAGAAGCUAUUUGUAAAAAUGCUUUGUGAUGUGUGGAUUCAGUGUUAAACUUUUAUUUUGAUUCCACAGUUUUGACACCCUAUUUGUAGAAUAUAUGAAUGAACAUUUCUCAGCCCAUUGAGGCCUAUCAUGUGAAACCAAAUAUUUUAUAAUAAAAACUGGAAACAAGUGAUCUGUUAAAAUGUUUUUUAGUGUGUGAAUUUGUUUCACAAAGAUAAAUCUUUGCAUGGAUUCAACAGGUUGGAAACAUUAUUGUAGAACCUAUGAAGGGAUGUUUUUAGCCUAUUAAGGACUAUAUAUAUAAAAAAAACUAGAAACAAGCUGUCUGUGAAAAUG
rnacentral:lncRNA from 1 species